CCAGGCCGCUUUGUUUACCUAAUCAAACAACUAACUAGGCAGUGUCGGGCGCCCCUCCCCCAGCCUCGCUGCCGCCUUGCAGUUUGAUCUCGGACUGGUGUGCUAGCAAUGAGGGAGACUCCGUGGGCAUACAACCUUCUGAGCCAGAACCUGGAUGUUGACGGGGCCACCUCUGAUCUUGUGAGGAACUAGUCGGCGAGCAAUUGCUGAAGCUGCAAAAGGCAGAGAAGAAUAGCUAUCCAACAGCUUUCUCCCUGAAAAACAUGGAAACUGGAGCCAGAAACUAGCAACUGGCUUUGUUCCUGUGGGCUGCAGUCAGCUGGUACCUGAACCUGAAGUGACACCUCGAAUCAAGGAGCCUGACAUACAUCGAUGAGAUGCAUAAGACAGCAGUCCUUGCCUCCUGGGACUUACAAAAGAUGAAGAAGUGUCUCACUUUGUCGUCCAGGAUGAAGUGCAGUGAAGUGACCACAGCUCACUGUAGCCUUGACCUCGUGGGCUCAAGCGAUCCUCCCACCUCAGUUUCAGAAGUAGCUGGGGCUAUAGGCAUGCACCACAAUGCCUAAUUUUUUAAAUUUCUU
rnacentral:lncRNA from 1 species